rnacentral:lncRNA from 1 species
UUGACUCAAAAUUUGUUACACCCUCGUGAACGAGUCUUGAAAGUUCUCGUGUUAAAUGCUAAUGAAAAACCUGAUCAGCUGGUAAUAUAGUCAUCAGCCCAAGCCACGACAGCAUCCAAUGGUGAUCCAGCAAAGAAGGAAGAAUCUAGAAGAAAUGGUGUCUAGAAGCAUUACGUCACCAGCAUUCUGUUAAGCAUAUUCCCUCUGCCAUUUGAUGUAACAAAUAGAUUUUUUUUGCCCAAGCAUUGUAGCUCUAUAUAAACUGUGUAACCUUAUGCAAAAGUAUUCAACAGAAAUAAAACUCAAAUUAUUCACCAAAUUCUACUGUUAUUUCUUUACUUUCUUAUAUGGUAUCAGAGCCUGCAAAUGGCUGAACAAAAUGUUGAAGUUCAAAAUGACUCAUCAAUCACAAAUUCAAAUCAAAACCCAAAUAUUGAUCCGGUCAGUGGAUCUGAUAUGAAGACUCAAGAUCCAACAUACCCAAGUAGUCCUUAUUUCAUCGGCAGCAAUGAUGGUACUGGAGCUGUGCUAGUUACUCACAUGUUAGAGGCAAACAACUACCAUUCUUGGGCCAGAUCCAUGAAACGAGCUCUUAGAAUCAAGAACAAAUUGGGAUUUAUAGAUGGAACUCUUUGUGAGCCAAGUGACCAGAAUGAUCCUUUAAUGGAGCAUUGGCUUAGAUGUAAUGACAUUGUGAUUACUUGGCUUCAGAACACCAUGGCAAUAGACAUCAAAUGCAGCACUGUGUAUGCUAAGACUGCACAUCAGUUGUGGCUGGAACUGGAACAACGAUUUGCACAGCACAAUGCACCCAGGAUCUAUGAAAUCAAGCAAGCAAUCGUAAUUCUGGUUCAAAAUCAGGAUGAUGUGAGUGUUUAUUUCUCUAAAUUCAAAACCCUUCUGGAUGAGCUAUUGAACUAUGAAUCUAUUCCCAAUUGUACUUGUGGAGGGCUGAAAGUGGUGGUCCAAAAUCAACAACGAGAUUGGGUGAUGAAGUUUCUGAUGGGAUUAAACGAAUCAUACAAGGAUCUCAAGGCUCAAAUUCUGUUGAUGAAGCCAUUCCCUACCUUGAAUGAAGUCUAUGCAACUAUACAACAAGAGGAAAAAAGGUGAUACAUAUCUGUAGAAGAACUUGUGAAUGAAGCUUUUUCCUCCUUUGCUAGAGGGAACCUGAGAGAAAGUAGGAGGCAAAAUUCUUCAUUGCAUAAGAACGAUAACUACUAUUGUACCCAUUGUAGAAUUGCAGGGCACUCCCUUGAGAGAUGCUUCAAGGCCAACCCUAACAGGCCUAUAUGUUCUCAUUGUCAAAUGUCUGGUCACAAGGCAAAUAAAUGCUUCAAGUUGCAUGGAUAUCCAUCAGGCUACAAAGAUGAAGGGAAGAGCAAAUACAAGGCAGCAGUAAACCAAGCCUCUGCACUUAUGCCUCUGAAUCAGGAACAUGAAAACAAAACCCAAGUAUCUUUGACUCAGGAGCUAUACUCUCAACUCAUGGCCAUGCUCAAACCAUCAGCAAACCAAGUCCAAAACAUUGAUUCAACUUCAGACAUUAUUCCAAAGCCCUCUAGUAUCUCCUAUUGUCUAUCAACCAUUAAAACUAAAUGCAUAAACAGUCUCAAUGUCCCUUGGAUUUUAGAUACGGGUGCAACAGAUCAUAUGGUCUAUUCCACAUCAUUUUUAUCCUCUUUUAAAUCAUAGGUUACAUGCUCUAUGGCUUUGCUAAAUGGAAAUACCAUACCUGCUACUGAAAUUGGCACAGCCCAAGUCACAAAAUCUUUGGUCCUUCGUGAUGUGCUUGGUGUCCCAUCUUUUUCUUUCAAUUUGAUAUCUAUUAGGAAACUUACCCAGGU